rnacentral:rRNA from 1 species
UGUGAAUUGCAGAAUUCCGCGAAUCAUCGAGUCUUUGAACGCAAGUUGCGCCCGAGGCUUGUCCGAGGGCAUUUCCGCUAGAGCGUCACCGCG